rnacentral:rRNA from 1 species
UCGACACAGGUAGGUAGGGAGAGAAUCCCAAGGCGCGCGAGAGAACCCUCGUUAAGGAACUCGGCAAAAUGACCCCGUAACUUAGGGAGAAGGGGUGCUCCGCUAGUGUGAAUAUUAUUUACUGAUAUGAGCAUGAGGGAGCCGCAGUGAUCAGGCCCAGGCGACUGUUUACCAAAAACACAGGUCUCUGCAAAAUCGAAAGAUGAAGUAUAGAGGCUGACGCCUGCCCGGUGCCGGAAGGUUAAGAGGAGAGCUUAGCGGUAACGCGAAGGUUUGAGCCGAAGCCCCGGUGAACGGCGGCCGUAACUAUAACGGUCCUAAGGUAGCGAAAUUCCUUGUCUGGUAAGUUCAGACCCGCACGAAAGGCGUAACGAUCUGGGCACUGUCUCGACGAGGGGCUCGGUGAAAUUGUAAUACCGGUGAAGAUGCCGGUUACCUGCGAUAGGACAGAAAGACCCCGUGGAGCUUUACUGCAGCUUGAUAUUGGAUUUUGGUAAUGCAUGUACAGGAUAGGUGGGAGACAGGGAAAGCAGUUCGCAAGGACUGCUGGAGUCACCGGUGGGAUACCACUCUUGGAUUACUGGAGUUCUAACCUGGCACCGUGAACCGGUGUAGGGACAGUGUCUGGCGGGCAGUUUGACUGGGGCGGUCGCCUCCAAAAGAGUAACGGAGGCGCCCAAAGGUUUCCUCAGCGCGGAUGGAAAUCGCGCGAAGAGUGUAAAGGCAUAAGGGAGCUUGACUGCGAGACAGACAUGUCGAGCAGGGACGAAAGUCGGGCUUAGUGAUCCGGCGGUACCGAGUGGAAGGGCCGUCGCUCAUCGGAUAGAAGCUACCCCGGGGAUAACAGGCUUAUCUCCCCCAAGAGUUCACAUCGACGGGGAGGUUUGGCACCUCGAUGUCGGCUCAUCACAUCCUGGGGCUGGAGAAGGUCCCAAGGGUUGGGCUGUUCGCCCAUUAAAGUGGUACGUGAGCUGGGUUCAGAACGUCGUGAGACAGUUCGGUCCCUAUCCAUCGCAGGCGCAGGAGAAUUGAGAGGAUCUGUCCCUAGUACGAGAGGACCGGGAUGGACAGACCGCUGGUGUACCAGUUGUUCCGCCAGGAGCAUAGCUGGGUAGCUAUGUCUGGAAGUGAUAAGCGCUGAAAGCAUCUAAGCGCGAAGCCAACCUCAAGAUGAGUUCUCCCACUUCGUAAGAAGGUAAGGUCCCACAGAGAUUAUGUGGUUGAUAGGCCGGAGGUGUAAGUGUAGUGAUGCAUUAAGCUGACCGGUACUAAUAGACCGAGGGCUUGACC